rnacentral:pre_miRNA from 1 species
AGCCUUCUCUAUCCGUGCUGAGAUUUCAUCGCACACCAGACAAGGGCUGAUGAGACUUCCCAGAUAAGUGAAAUG